rnacentral:rRNA from 1 species
UGAGGGGGAUAUUUGGGGGCAAUGGGGGAAACCCUGACCCAGCAACGCCGCGUGAGGGAAGACGGUCUUCGGAUUGUAAACCUAAGUAGUCAGGGACGAAGAAAUGACGGUACCUGAAGAGUAAGCUCCGGCUAACUACGUGCCAGCAGCCGCGGUAAUACGUAGGGAGCGAGCGUUGUCCGGAUUUACUGGGUGUAAAGGGUGCGUAGGCGGGCUGUCAAGUCAGAUGUGAAAUACCGGGGCUUAACUCCGGGGCUGCAUUUGAAACUGAUGGUCUUGAGUGAAGUAGAGGCAGGCGGAAUUCCUAGUGUAGCGGUGAAAUGCGUAGAUAUUAGGAGGAACACCAGUGGCGAAGGCGGCCUGCUGGGCUUUAACUGACGCUGAGGCACGAAAGCAUGGGGAGCAAACAGGAUUAGAUACCCUGGUAGU